CGCUGGCGGCGUGCCUAACACAUGCAAGUCGAACGCGAAAGUCCCGCAAGGGAUCGGUAGAGUGGCAAACGGGUGAGUAACACGUGGGUGACCUGCCUUCGAGUGGGGGAUAACGUCCCGAAAGGGACGCUAAUACCGCAUAACAUGCUGCCUUUUAAGAGGUGGACAGCAAAGCUGGGGAUCGCAAGACCUAGCGCUUGAAGAGGGGCCCGCGUCCGAUUAGCUAGUUGGUGGGGUAACGGCUCACCAAGGCAACGAUCGGUAGCCGGCCUGAGAGGGCGGACGGCCACACUGGGACUGAGACACGGCCCAGACUCCUACGGGAGGCAGCAGUGGGGAAUUGUUCGCAAUGGGCGCAAGCCUGACGACGCAACGCCGCGUGGAGGAUGAAGAUCUUCGGGUCGUAAACUCCUUUCGAUCGAGACGAACGGCCUCCGGGUGAACAAUCCGGGGGAGUGACGGUACCGAGAGAAGAAGCCCCGGCUAACUCCGUGCCAGCAGCCGCGGUAAUACGGGGGGGGCAAGCGUUGUUCGGAAUUACUGGGCGUAAAGGGCUCGUAGGUGGCCAACUAAGUCAGACGUGAAAUCCC
rnacentral:rRNA from 1 species